rnacentral:lncRNA from 1 species
UUUUAUCGUCAUCAGCUUGUCUGGCGCCCAUGAGUACUAGCUCUGGCUGGAGUGGCAGCGCCUGGGCGGCUGUGGGACUUCCUGCUCAGCGCGUCUUGCAGCGGACUGGAGCCCGCUUAGUCAGCGCCACAUCUGGCCCGUUUAGUUUUCUGCUUGUGUCUCCUCUGCCGGUUCUACUGGGGUGUUGCUUAAGCAACCGACU